AAAAACUUUCAACAACGGAUCUCUUGGUUCCAGCAUCGAUGAAGAACGCAGCGAAAUGCGAUAAGUAAUGUGAAUUGCAGAAUUCAGUGAAUCAUCGAAUCUUUGAACGCACAUUGCGCCCCUCGGUAUUCCGGGGGGCAUGCCUGUUCGAGCGUCAUU
rnacentral:rRNA from 1 species